GACGAACGCUGGCGGCGUGCCUAACACAUGCAAGUCGAACGGAGUGUUGUGCUGAAAUUGAGAUUAGCUUGCUAAAGGAUAUUUCUUGCAACACUUAGUGGCGGACGGGUGAGUAACGCGUGAGGAACCUGCCUUACAGAGGGGGACAACAGUUGGGAACGACUGCUAAUACCGCAUGAUGUGGAGGGGAGACAUCUCCCUUUCACCAAAGGAGCAAUCCGCUGUAAGAUGGCCUCGCGUCUGAUUAGAUAGUUGGUGGGGUAACGGCCUACCAAGUCGACGAUCAGUAGCCGGACUGAGAGGUUGAACGGCCACAUUGGGACUGAGACACGGCCCAGACUCCUACGGGAGGCAGCAGUGGGGAUAUUGCACAAUGAGGAAACUACCUGAUGCAGCAACGCCGCC
rnacentral:rRNA from 1 species